UACGAAGGGGGCUAGCGUUGUUCGGAAUUACUGGGCGUAAAGCGUGCGCAGGCGGUUGUGCAAGACAGAUGUGAAAUCCCCGGGCUUAACCUGGGAAUUGCAUUUGUGACUGCACGGCUAGAGUGUGUCAGAGGGGGGUAGAAUUCCACGUGUAGCAGUGAAAUGCGUAGAGAUGUGGAGGAAUACCGAUGGCGAAGGCAGCCCCCUGGGAUAACACUGACGCUCAUGCACGAAAGCGUGGGGAGCAAACAGG
rnacentral:rRNA from 1 species